GGCCUUAUAGCUCAGUGGUUAGAGCAUGCGAUUGCAGAUCGCAGGGUCCCGUGUUCGACUCACGGUGAGGCCU